CUUUCUUCUUUAUUUUUCAGUCCAAGCUCUGCCAGGAUCUCCCAAACACAAGGUGGCAAGAAGAGCCAAUGGCAGCAGCUUGGACAAGGAAGCGGAACCUCUGAGAGUUAGAUCCAAGCCGCAGAGAUCAACUGUAUGUGUGGGCUCCAUGACAAGCGCGCCCUGGAGUUGUGAGCUGCGCAACAUGCAAGUUCCCUGCUGAUAGAACAGUCAUGGCUGCAUCCCCAGGACACAGCUGAACCCGACUCAUACUGAGUCCACCUGACGGCUGUCUCCUUGUCCCAUGGGAGAACUCACAGACAUUCCAGUGGGAGAAAACAGGAUCUGUUGAAGGCCCAAAAGCUGGAAACCGAAGAAGAGACUCACUGUGGAGGUCCCAGAGACAUUGCUUGUGGACCUGGUUUGAAACUGGAAAAGGGCAGGAGGUAGAGAUGAGCUCCAGCAGAAGUGGGGGAAGCGACAAGUAGCUGUCAGAAUUGGAAUGCAUAUCAGUUAUGCUGGGAGACAAUGAAAACAUCAAAAAGCACAUGAAAAAUUCAGGUCCUCAGAAGCAGCUCGGGACAGAUCGACCAAGAAGAAAGAUUAAGAAGAAGAAAAUGGAUGGUGGAUAAACAACUGCUCUGUUCCUUGCAAGAUUCAGCCUUCUUUAUGGAGAAGGAGAGAGAAAGGAAUCCACCGGGGUAACUCCUGGCUCACUCCAUGCUGGGGGCAUACAGAGCUUUGAGACAUUCUCUGCAGUGACUUGCUGUUUCAAGUGUCUCUAAGAAACUUCAGCCGCUAUUUCCUAACGAAGCUUCUGGUGAAAAAUGGACUCUGACCAGUGUGUGAACAGCAGUGCCCUGCACUGCCUGGCAGAGCCAGCCGUGUUGGCCAGCCCGGUGGAUGAACAGAUAGGCAGAUCAAGUCUUCGGUAAACACCAAGCUUUGCUCGACAGCAAUGACUGCCUUCUGCUGACUCCAGCAGGCACUUCCAGGAUAUUAAUGACUUGUACUAAACAGAACGCUAGAGUUUUCCACAUUUUUUUAAGGCUGCAAAAAUUAAAGCUACUGU